rnacentral:rRNA from 1 species
UACGGGGGGGGCAAGCGUUGUUCGGAAUUACUGGGCGUAAAGGGCUCGUAGGCGGCCAACUAAGUCAGACGUGAAAUCCCUCGGCUUAACCGGGGAACUGCAUCUGAUACUGGAUGGCUUGAGUUCGGGAGAGGGAUGCGGAAUUCCAGGUGUAGCGGUGAAAUGCGUAGAUAUCUGGAGGAACACCGGUGGCGAAGGCGGCAUCCUGGACCGAUCACUGACGCUGAGGCGCGAAAGCUAGGGGAGCAAACGGG